rnacentral:rRNA from 1 species
GACGUAGGGCGCGAGCGUUGUCCGGAAUUAUUGGGCGUAAAGAGCUCGUAGGCGGUGUGUCGCGUCGGCCGUGAAAACCUGCAGCUUAACUGUGGGCGUGCGGUCGAUACGGGCAUCACUGGAGUUCGGCAGGGGAGACUGGAAUUCCUGGUGUAGCGGUGAAAUGCGCGGAUAUCAGGAGGAACACCGGUGGCGAAGGCGGGUCUCUGGGAAACAACUGACGCUGAGGAACGAAAGCGUGGGUAGCAAACAGG